GACGAACGCUGGCGGCGUGCUUAACACAUGCAAGUCGAGCGGUAAGGCCCUUUCGGGGGUACACGGAGCGGCGAACGGGUGAGUAACACGUGGGUGACCUGCCCUCAGCUCUGGGAUAAGCCGUGGGAAACCGUGGGUCGUAAUACCGGAUAUGACUCCCAUGACGGCAUGUUGUGGGGUGGAAAGCCUUGUGCGGCUGGGGAUGGGCCCGCGGCCUAUCAGCUUGUUGGUGGGGUGAUGGCCUACCAAGGCGACGA
rnacentral:rRNA from 1 species